rnacentral:rRNA from 1 species
UGCCAGCAGCCGCGGUAAUUCCAGCUCCAAUAGCGUAUAUUAAAGCUGCUGCAGUUAAAAAGCUCGUAGUUGGAUCUCGAGGCGGCCGCGACUGUUCCGGUCUGGUAAGGAAGUAGCCUCGCGUUGCUUUCUCUCCUGUAUCGGCUGUCGCGCGCUACCCCCACGAGUGUCGGCUCUCUCCCGUGACCGCUCUUCACUGAACGGUCCGGGCGGCCGACCAUUUACUUUGAAAAAAUUAGAGUGUUCAAAGCAGGCCUGAUGUGCCUGGAUAGCCGCGCAUGGAAUAAUAGAACAUGACUGCCGUCUCAUUCCUAACGGCCGGUCUCAGAGACGGAGGUAAUGAUUGAGAGGGACGGACGGGGGCAUUCGUACCGCGGUGGGAGAGGUGAAAUUCGAUGAUCGUCGCGAGACGGACCAGAGCGAAAGCAUUUGUCAAGAGCGUUUUCUUUAAUCAA